CUAAAACGUAUUUAUAGGACUUAAUUGUAUAUUUGAAGUGUAUCUGCAGGGCAAAAGAUGCUGAUAGAGCGAAAUUUUAUUUAUUGCACAUACUAUUCAACUUGCUGACUAUACACAAGAACCAUUAAUUUAUACUAUUUGCCACUCGUUAUUAUAAUAAAAUGUCGGAAAUUGACACAGAUGACUUUAAGGUAAAGUAUAAACCAAAUGCAACAACAAUAACAAAUAAAUCAUUGGGGAAUUUUCCAAAUGUCAAGCACUUUUUCGAAAUUCUAGUUGAAAAUACAAAUAUUGCAAGUAAACAUGUUGGUCGAUCAUAUCAAUAUAAUCAAAAUGUGGAGAGAUAUCGUUAUUUUUCAGCCCAUGGACUUUUUAUGGAUUAUUUUAUAAGGAAACAUUUGUCCAAUAAAUAUAAUAUUAAAAUAACGGAUUCACGCACAGAGCACAUUCUGGAAAAUCCGGAUGAUUACAUUAUUGGUAAAAAUGUAAAACUACGGGAUUCUAUUAAAGAACAUUAUGAAAUUUUUAAAGAUUCCAACACCCAGGCAAUGGAUAUUAUUGAAAGUAUUAAAUUUGUAUCACUUUCGCAUAUAAUAUUUUUUAGAGAACCGAUACCAGCACACGCACGAGUACACAGUAAAUGAGGAUAAUUUACAUGAAAUUAUAAGAUAUUUUGAAAGACUGCCAUAUAAAACGGUAGAAUUGAAUCCUAAACUAGACUGUGAUUAUUUCUAUGCAGAUGGCGAUUUAAUAUUUGACAACGAUGUUAUAUACGAAAUAAAGACCUCCAAAUUUAAAUCCCUUACAUAUGACAAGCAUAUGAUACCUUUGAGUAAGUUCUAUCAAACGAUUAUCUAUGGAUUUGGUCUCUACAAAAAUGCUGGCAUUAAAGUGAAAAAGUUCAAAAUCUACAAUCCCUUAUUGGGAGAUGAGUUUUCUAUUGAAUUGGAUAAUAUUGAUUUUGAGUUAUUCGAAAAUGUUCUAAAGCGCGAUGUUGGAGUCUUCAGUCGUUUGCAUGAAAUUUUAAUGGAUGAAAUGGUAUUGGACAUGUCGUUAUUUUCUGGAAAAGAAGACGUAAAAUAAAGUUAUACAAAUUUGCAUUACUUUCAUAAAAUAUAGUUUUGUAUUGUAUUCAAAAGAUUUCAAUUUAAAUCAAACUAUUUUUUUUAUAUUAUACAAUUUAUAUGAGCAUUUAAAUAAAACCUUUUUCUAAAAAUGUU